AUGAAAAGCACUUUGAAAAGAGGGUGAAAAGAACCUGAAACCGUCACGGGGGAAGCGGAUUGCGUUGGCCUGGUGGGCGCCUGUGUGUUCAGCCUUUUUUUGGGUGCAUUGGCACAGGUGCUUAUCCGCCGUGGGUUUUCGGGGGCCGAUUUUGGGUCCCCGGAGGCUGAGGGCUCCCUUCGGGUGAGGACGGCGGAGUGACGACGCGAUACGACCCGUCUUGAAACACGGACCAAGGAGUCUAGCGCGGGUGCGAGUCGGAGGGUGCAAGCCCGUGGGCGAAGUGAAAGCGAGUGUAAAAACGAGCAGUUUGGGGCGGCAUAAGAUCGUUGAUCUUAAGACCGACCCAGAGCAGUUGCGCUGGGACCCGAAAGAUGGUGAACUAUGCCGGAGUAGGGCAAAGCCAGAGGAAACUCUGGUGGAGGCUCGUAGCGGUGCUGACGUGCAAAUCGCUCGUCCAACUUGGGUAUAGGGGCGAAAGACUAAUCGAACCAUCUAGUAGCUGGUUCCCUCCGAAGUUUCUCUCAGGAUAGCGGGCCGACAAGUUGUUUUGUGC
rnacentral:rRNA from 1 species